AUUGAACGCUGGCGGCAGGCCUAACACAUGCAAGUCGAGCGGAUGAAGGGAGCUUGCUCCUGGAUUCAGCGGCGGACGGGUGAGUAAUUCCUAGGAAUCUGCCUGGUAGUGGGGUAUAACGUCCGGAAACGGGCGCUAAUACCGCAUACGUCCUUAGGGAGAAAGUGGGGGAUCUUCGGACCUCACGCUAUCAGAUGAGCCUAGGUCGGAUUAGCUAGUUGGUGGGGUAAAGGCCUACCAAGGCGACGAUCCGUAACUGGUCUGAGAGGAUGAUCAGUCACACUGGAACUGAGACACGGUCCAGACUCCUACGGGAGGCAGCAGUGGGGAAUAUUGGACAAUGGGCGAAAGCCUGAUCCAGCCAUGCCGCGUGUGUGAAGAAGGUCUUCGGAUUGUAAAGCACUUUAAGUUGGGAGGAAGAGCAGUAAGUUAAUACCUUGCUGUUUUGACGUUACCAACAGAAUAAGCACCGGCUAACUUCGUG
rnacentral:rRNA from 1 species